ensembl:lncRNA
CAGAAAUGCAGGACAUCCAGGCAGCUGAUCCCAAAGGCCAAGCCUUCAAAUUGCAACCUACAAAUGUACGAACAGUCCUGGGAGGAGCUCACUGUGUCUGAUGAAACGAGGAAGAAACCCUUGUUAUUAGCUGUUAUAGAUCAGCCCUGGGAUUUCUUUGGAAGGAAUGAUGCUGAAGCUGAGACUCCAGUACUUUGGCCACCUCAUGCGAAGAGUUGACUCAUUGGAAAAGACUCUGAUGCUGGAAGGGAUUGGGGGCAAGAGGAGAAGGGGACGACAGAGGAUGAGAUGGCUGGAUGGCAUCACUGACUCGAUGGACAGCUCCUUUACUGGUGUACUGCUUUGCUCGACAAUCCUAGGACUGUGAUUUGUGCUAUGCAGACCUGCUGACAUUUUAUGGGAUCACAAAGAGUCAGACACAACUUAGCAACUGAGUAACAACAAAAGCUAUGGACAGUUGUCUGAGAAAUAAAAUGACCCCAUGGCAGUACCCAUCCACAGACAGACUUGGGCAAGAAUCAGUCCUUGCCCACCACUAACUAUGAAAAUUUGGGCAAUUACUGAUUUUGCUUUUGGCCAUGCCAUGCAGCACGCAUGAUCUUCCCCGACCAGGGAUCAAACCCAAGACCUCUGCAUUGGAAGCAUGGAGUUUUUAACCACUGGACCACUGGGGAAUUCCUCAAUCUUUCUGAGAUCCUUUUCACCAUAAGAUGGAGAAGAUAUAAGACCCACUUCAGUGAACAAUGGUGUAAAUUUUUUUUUUCUUUUUAUUAUUAUUAUUUUUUUUACUUUGCAAUAAUGGUGUAAAUUUAAAUGAAAAAAAAUCACAUAAAGCCUUUAGCGGUGAUACUUUAUACGUAGCAAAAGCUCAACAGAACUCAUUAUUAAUGCUAUUUUUGGACUAUGUCCCAUGGUUUCAGGGGUGUCAGAAACAAGUUCUUAAUCUCGCUAAAGUCAGAUCCAUGUAUAUGAGAAAAUUAAGUGUGCGCACAGAAAAGAAACACCUGCAGUGUUUGUCUAAUUGCUUUGGACUCCUCAGAGAACUGGAUGGAGCUAUGGAGGGUCAAACAUACCUAAUUAGAGAAUCAACAAAUUCUGAAUAGGUGCCAUAUUUAGAGGGACGGUUUGACUUCUCAAUACAAUAAACUGGCUGGAGGAAGAUGGGGAAGGGGGAGACGAGGAGCAUCACUUCAGCACAUUCCUGACUUUAACUUGAGAGAUUCUUCACGCAGAGAAAUUUCUCUCAUUCUUCUGGAUUCUGCAGUGAGAAAUAACACAAUCCAGCCUUACUGGUUUUGUACCAGGCUCUGUCCACUUAAUCCUUGCACAGCCCUAUGAGAGUGGGGAUAUUUUAUCACUCACAUUUUAGAUAAAGGACAACUGAAAGCACAGACUGUCCCUGUAACUUGCCCAAGGUCAUAUGGCUGGGGCACUGGUAGUCUGAUUUAAAUCUAGGUACAUUUACUUCAGCCCUUAUUUCCAAUGCUGUACUACAAGGCUGCAUAGUAGAAAGAGUGUGUGAGUCACACAUGCACAUAAAAUGCUUUCCUAGUCACAUUUUGAAAAAGGAAACAGGUACCAUGAAGUUUUAAAAUUUAUUUGAUUGAAGGAUAAUUGAUUUACAAUGUUGUGAUAAUUUCUGCUGUACAGAAAAGUGAUUCAGUUAUAUAUAUACAUGUGUGUGUGUGUAUUAGGCUUCCCUCGUGGCACUAGUGGUAAAAAACCCGCCUGCUAAUCAGUUGAGUGGAGUUCAGUCAUUCAGUCAUGCCCAACUCUUUGUGGUCCCAUGGACUGCAGCAUGCCAGGCCUCCCUGUCCUUCACCAUCUCCCAGAGCUUAUGCAAACUCGUAUCCAUCAAGGCAGUGAUGCCAUCCAACCAUCUCAUCCUCUGUCGUCCCCUCCUCCGCCUGCCUUCAGUCAUUCCCAGCAUAAGGGUCCUUGCCAAUGAGUCAGUUCUUCGCAUCAGGUGGCCAAAGUAUUGGAGAUUCAGCUUCAGCAUCGGUCCUUCCAAUGAAUAUUCAGGACUGAUUUCCUUUAGGAGGGACUGAUUGGAUCUCCUUGCAGGCCAAGGAGACUCUCAAGAGUCUUCUCCAACACCACACUUCAAAAGCAUCAAUUCUUUGGCACUCAGCUUUCCUUGUAGUCUAAUUCUCACAUCUGUACAUGAAUCCUGCAAAAACCAUAGCUUUGACUAGAUGGACCUUUGUUGGCAAAGUAAUAUCUCUGCUUUUUAAUAUGCUGUGUAGGUUGGUCAUAGCUUUUCUUCUAAGGAGCAAGCAUCUUUUAAUUUCAUGGCUGCAGUCACCAUCUGCAGUGAUUUUGGAGCCCAGAAAAAUAAAGUCAGCCACUGUUUCCAUUGUUUCCCCAUCUAUUUGCCAUGAAGUGAUGGGACCAGAUGCCAUGAUCAUCGUUUUCUGAGUGUUGAGUUUUAAGCCAGCUUUUCACUCUCCUCUUUCACUUUCAUCAAGAGACUCUUAGUUCUUCGCUUUCUGCCAUAAGGGUGGUGUGAUCUGCAUAUCUGAGAUUAUUGAUAUUUCUUCUGGCAAUCUUGAUUCCAGCUUGUGCUUCAUCUAGCCUGGCAUUUAGCAUGAUGUACUCUGUAUAUAAGUUAAAUAAGCAGGGUGAAAAUAUACAGUCUUGACAUGCUCCUUUCCCAGUUUGGAACCAGUCUGCUGUUCCGUGUCCGGUUUUAACUGUUGCUUCUUGAGCUGCAUACAGAUUUCUCAGGAGGCAGGUCAGGUGGUCUGGUAUUCCCAUCUCUUUCAGAAUUUUCCAGUUUGUUGUAAUCUACACAGUCAAAGGCUUUGGCAUAUUCAAUAAAGCAGAAGUAGAUGUUUUUCUGGAACUCUCUUGCUUUUUCAAUGAUCCAGCGGAUGUUGGCAAUUUGAUCUCUGGUUUCUCUGCCUUUUCUAAAACCAGCUUGAACAUCUGGAAGUUCACGGUUCAUUUGCUGUUGAAGCCUGGCUUAGAGAGUUUUGAGCACUACUUUACUAGCGUGUGAGAGUGCAACUGUAUGGUAGUUUGAGCAUUCUUUGGCAUUGCCUUUCUUUGGGAUUGGAAUGAAAACUGACCUUUUCCAUUCCUGUGGCCACUGCUGAGUUCUCCAAAUUUGCUGGCAUUUGAGUGCAGCACUUUCAUGGCAUCAUCUUUUAGGACUUGAAAUAGCUCAACUGGAAUUUCAUCACCUCCACUAGCUUUGUUCAUAAGAUGCUUCCUAAGGCCAACUUGACUUUGUAUUCCAGGAUGUCUGUCUCUAGGUGAGUGAUCACACCAUCAUGAUUAUCUGGGUCAUAAAGACUUUUUUGAUAUAAUUUUUCUGUGUAUUCUUGCCAGCUCUUCUUAAUAUCUCCUGCUUCUGUUAGGUCCAUACCAUUUGUGUUUUUAUUGUGCCCAUCUUUGCAUGAAGUAUUCCCUUGGUAUCUCUAAUUUUCUUGGAGAGAUCUCUAGUCUUUCCCAAUCUAUUGUUUUCCUCUAUUUCUUUGCAUUGAUCACUGAGGAAGGCAGUGAUCUCUCCUUGCUAUUCAUAUCUCUCCUUGCUAUUCUUUGGAACUCUGUAUUCAGAUGGCUAUAUCCUUCCUUUUUUCCUUUGCCUUUCACUUCUCUUCUUCUCUCAGCUAUUUGUAAGGCCUCCUCAGACAACCAUUUUCCCUUUUUGCAUUUCUUUUUCUUGAAGAUGGUCUUGACUGCUGUGUCAUGUACAAUGUCAUGAACCUCUGUCAGUUCUCCUUUAGGCACUCUAUCAUAUCUAAUCCUUUGAAUCUAUUUAUUAGGGAUUUGAUUUAGGUCAUAUCUGAAUGGUCUAAUGGUUUUCCCUACUUUCUUCAAUUUAAGUUUGAAUGUCACAAUAAGGAGUUAACGUCUGAGUUAUAGCCAUGUGCUGACUGUAUAGAGCUUCUCCAUCUUCAGCUGCAUAGAAUAUAAUCAAUCUGAUUUUGGUAUGACCAUCUGAUGAUGUCCGUGUAUAGAGUCAUUGCUUGUGUUGUUGGAAUAGCUUGCUUGCUAUGACCAGUGCGUUCUCUUGGCAAAACUCUAUUAGCCUUUGCCCUGCUUCAUUCCUUCCAAGGCCGAACUUGCCUGUUACUAUAGGUGUCUCUUGACUUCCUAUUUUUGGGUUCCUGUCCCCUAUGAUGAAAAGGACAUCUUUUUUGGGUGUUAGUUCUAGAAGGUCUUGUAGGUUGUCAUCAGUUCAGUUCAGUCGCUCAGUCAUGUCUGACCCUUUGCGACCCCAUGAAUCGCAGCAUGCCAGGCCUCUCUGUCCAUCACCAACUCCCGGAGUUCACUCAGACUCACGUCCAUCGAGUCCAUGAUGCCAUCCAGCCAUCUCAUCCUCUGUCAUCCCCUUCUCUUCCUGCCUCCAGUCCCUCCCAGCAUCAGGGUCUUUUCCAGUGAGUCAACUCUUCUCAUGAAGUGGCCAAAGUACUGGAGUUUCAGCUUCAGCAUCACUCCUUCCAAAGAAAUCCCAGGGCUGAUCUCCUUCAGAAUGGACUGGUUGGAUCUCCUUGCAUUCCAAGGGACUCUCAGGAGUCUUCUCCAAUAGCACAGUUCAAAAGCAUCAAUUCUUUGGCACUCAGCUUUCUUCACAGUCCAACUUUCACAUCCAUACAUGACCACAGGAAAAACCAUAGCCUUGACUACUUUGUUGGCUAAGUAAUGUCUCUGCUUUUGAAUAUGCUAUCUAGGUUGGUCAUAACUUUUCUUCCAAGGAGUAAGCGUCUUUUAAUUUCAUGGCUGCAGUCACCAUCUGCAGUGAUUUUGGAGCCCCGCAAAAUGAAGUCUGACACUGUUUCCACUGUUUCCCCAUCCAUUUGCCAUGAAGUGAUGGGACCAGAUGCCAUGAUCUUCAUUUUCUGAAUGUUGAGCUUUAAGCCAAUUUUUCACUUUCCACUUUCACUUUCAUCAAGAGGCUUUUUAGUUCCUCUUCACUUUCUGCCAUAAGGGUGAUGUCAUCUGCAUAUCUGAGGUUAUUGAUAUUUCUCCUGGCACUCUUGAUUCCAGCUUGUGCUUCUUCCAGCCCAGCGUUUCUCAUGAUGCACUCUGCAUAUAAGUUAAACAAGCAGGGUGACAAUAUACAGCCUUGACGUACUCCUUUUCCUAUGUGGAAUCAGUCUGUUGUUCCAUGUCCAGUUCUAACUGUUGCUUCCUGACCUGCAUAAAGAUUUCUCAGAGGCAAGUCAGGUGGUCUGGUAUUCCCAUCUCUUGAAGAAUUUUCCACAGUUUAUUGUGAUCCACACAGUCAAAGGCUUUGGCAUAGUCCAUAAAGCAGAAAUAGAUGUUUUUCUGGAACUCUCUUGCUUUUUCGAUGAUGCAGCGGAUGUUGGCAAUUUGAUCUCUGGUUCCUCUGCCUUUUCUAAAACCAGCUUGAACAUCUGGAAGUUCACAGUUCAUAUAUUGCUGAAGCCUGGCUUGGAGAAUUUUGAACAUUACUUUACUAGCGUGUGAGAUGAGUGCAAUUGUGUGGUAGUUUGAGCAUUCUUUGGCAUUGCCUUUCUUUGGGAUUGAAAUGAAAACUGACCUUUUCCAGUCCUGUGGCAUCAUAGAACCUUUCAAGUUCAAUUUUUUUGGCAUUAGUGGUUGGGGCAUAGACUUGGAUUACUGUGAUAUUGAAUGGUUUGCCUUGGAAAUGAACAGAGAAUAUUUUGUCAUUUUUGAGGUUGCAUCCAAGUACUACAUUUUGAACUCUUUUGUUGACUAUGAGGGCUACUCCAUUUCUUCCAAGGGAUUCUUGAAAUUAAUUUUAAUCAUAUGUUUAAGUUAACCAUUCAACAUGUAAUCACAGAAAAUAGUCUUUUUUCGUAUGUCAUGAGUUAGCACUUCUGCACAGCUCUAUUAGGACCUUUCAGUGGUCAGGAGCCAUGUGCCGUUGGUGGUAUCCACAGCAGGAAGCACAACCCUGUGUUCACUCAGCCAGUUACUGAACUCUGUAUUUGUAUCUCUAUGUUUACACAGUCUUUAUUCCUUUUGCUUUUACCUAUUCAAACUAGAAAGAUUCUGAGUACUGAAAGUGAAAAUAAGUUAUGAAAAAAAGGAAUAAAGAAAACAGUGGGUCAUUGCUUGGCAAUUUCUAACAACACCUAGGAAAGCUAUGGUUUUCGGUGACUUCUGUCAGAUUGCUCAAAUAUUUUGAGUUCAACUGCAUGCCCAUUUAAGAACAUAAGGUUCAUUUAUUAUGUUUCCCCCUUGGCCAAGCAGAAAUCUAAAAAUACACUCCUAAGUUGUUAGGUUUGACCAAACUCUUUAUAUAAAUAUCCGUUUGCAGUUGUUGUUUUAGCAAAAGAAAAAGCCAAUCUCCUGUCUUUGGGUUCUAAAAACUUUAGGAAACUGAUUUUCCCCCUAAGCACUUCCUUCCUCUAAACCACGUACAGACUGAAAAAAAGGAAGUGAAAAUCAGAUUUUAUUUUUUUUCCUACAAGAGGACAGAAAAGACAGCCCCUCCCCCACAUGACUGACAUUCUUUUGCCAUUUCCCCUCCCACCACCGAAUCCCAAAUGAUGAUUAGAGGAUGGAAACUUGGCCCCUUAACAUAAAGCUUCACGCUGUAAACUAAACCCUGGGGAAUGUUGGCCUUAGGAAUCAUAUCUCAUCUGAUGGGUUUGAAAGGGCCUACGGGGAAUCACCAUGUCACAUAGAUCCUUUUUUGCGUUUCAGGCAAUGUUUUCCCAACAUUAGACAAACAGCAGACAACAGUAGACAGUAAGUGCUUGUUCAAUUAAAUUUUUUUAAUUAAUUGGAGUAAAUUCAAGAAAAAUUUCUGUAGAUAAGUAUACAAGAAAAGCAGUUUACUAUUUCCAUAGACUCUAAUGGGAACACUUAGAAGAUAUAGUUUGAAUAGAAAGAAAUGACCUAUGGGACAAGAGUGAUAUAAAGACGUGGUAGAAAAACCUGGAACUUAAAAGGGCAACUAAUUCCCAGAAGUUCUUCCUUGACCCUGUCUUCAUGUGAAAUUUUAAUAUGAGUAAAAUAUAAAAACUAACUAUAAAAUAAAGGUAAAAUAAUAUGUAGAAGAAUAUUUAUAAAUUUUGGUCAAGGGGAAGAUUUUAAGGUAGUAGAUAUGAAACUUGGAAAACACAGUUAUAUUUAACUUGUCUCCCUAUAUACAUAUAAGUGCAUUAUAUAUGUAGUAUUUAGCAUAUAGCUUAUGCAAAAUAAUGAGUUGGGAAACUUUUAUGCAAUUAGAAUACUAUCAGAAGACAUAACAAGUUGCUGUUCCUAAUAUAGAAAUAGCCGUUAAAAGGAAAGGCAAACUAUAAAUUAAAAAAAAAAAGAAAAAUGACUACAAACAUUUUCUUCCUCACUAGUGAAUCAGAGGUGCAAAGUAUACAAAAAUCAGAUGAAAAUUUUAAUGCAUCACUUAAGCAAAACAAGCAAACAAAAAAGUAACAUCAUCCAACUACAGUGAAAUAGGUCAGCCAUCCAGCUGCUGGGGGUGUGAAUUGCUUGAAUAAAUAGAGUAGACUUCACAGUGAUUUCUGGUGAAUAAUACCUAAUAGCAUUAAUGUCAGCUGUCUGAGCUUAAAACAUUUUAGCAAAGUAUCUUUCAGAACUGUGUGCAGGGCAAAGUGAAGCCAUAUUGAUUAUUACAGUCAUAUGUCCUUCCGUGCAUGCUCAUUUGUGUCCAGCUCUUUGCAACCUCAUGGACUCUAGCUGCCCAGGCUCCUCUGCCCUUGGGAUUAUCCAGGCAGGAAUACUGGAGUGGGGUGCCAUUUCCAUUUCAAGGUAUAUGUCCUUAUAGAGAAAAACAAAUAUAUGAUAUCAUUUAUAUAUAGAAUCUAAAAAAAAAAAAAAACAAAUGAACUUGCUUCCAAAACAGAAAUAGACCUACAGAUGAAGAAAGCCUAAGGGAAAGGUUUACCAAAGGGGAAAGGGUUAGGAGGGAUAAAUUAUGAGUUUGGAAUUAAUAUAUACACACUACUAUGUAUAAAAUAGAUAAACAGCAAGGAUCUACUGUAUACCGCAGGGAACUGUACUUGGGAAAAGUAUCUGAAAAAGUAUAUAUAAAGAAUAUGCAUAUAUAUAUAUAUAUAUAAAACUAUCACUGUGUUGUACACUUGAAACUAACAUAUUGUAAAUCAACUAUAUGCCAAUAAAAUCUGAAAAAAAGAGCAAAAAAACUAUAUGUCCUUAUGCAUUUUUAUAAAUAUAAAUAGAUACUAACCAGCUGGAUAAAUCGCCUUAUGCUGUAACUUUCGGUUGCCUGUGUGACUCCUAUGCCGAUGGAGCAGGAGUGGGAGGCACAGGGCUGGCUUUGGGCCAGGGCUGCUCAGGG